UCCCGCGUUUGCUUCCCGCGUCCCUGCUCGUUUCAUCCAUUCUCCCAAAAUUUAAUCCCAAAUCUUCAGAGAAUCAGAGUCUAGAGUGACACUUCUUCUUCUCCUCCAAGGCUCGAGAGUAGAGACCAAAACGAAGUCACGGUCACGGAGAGAGGUAGAGAACAGAGCUUCUUCUUCUCCCACUCCUAAGAAAACCCGCGGUCCUCCGCCUGAGAGUAGAGCUUCUCCUCCUCCUCUGUCGAGCCUGCCAUUGGUCUUACGAGUUACACCAACACUGCAGUUAACGGAGCUGCGGCACUGAGCGGUGGUGCGAGUUCAGCUCAAGAUUUUUCAAUUCUGCAUUUGGGAUUCACAUUUCAAUCUCAAUUUGAAUUCAGAUCCAAAAUCCAUAAACAAGAAGAAGACGACAACGAAAAACAAUGGAGGUGGAGCUGAAACAGUUGAUGGCGGAUCUUCAAUCUCUCAACCAAUCCCUUCCAGAUCCAUCUCUCCAUGCUUCCCUCCUUAAAACUGAGCAAGUUUGCUGAUGAUGUUGAGGUUCACUUUGCACACAAGAAAAAGACCGAGAUCAUGUCAAAGGCUAGAAAUCUGCUCCUAGAGUGUGACUUUUAGUGAUGUUUGUCUGUCAUCUACAAGAGUUGCAUUGGAAUUUUAUCGUGUAGCUAGAGAUGCUAUACUCCUCUAUGAGGUUGUUGUCCCUGUCAAGAUUGUGGCUUUGUUGCUUGAGAAUGGAGCUGAUGUGAAUUCAAGGAACUAUUGCGGCCAGACGGAUUUGAUGCAAGCUUGUAGAUAUGGUCAUUGGGAAGUAGUUCAGACCCUUAUGCUCUUCAGAUGCAAUGAGAAUAGUUGGUGUAGGUCAUGUUGAGGAUUUUGAAUCCAUUCCCGAUGCUGCUAAACGUGCAACAUGUGAAAAGUGAGCACUUGAUUUAGCUAAGAUGAUUCUCAAAGAAAGGAAAAAAUUUGAAGGCAUAUAUUAUGGAAUAAAAUCUCUAUGGCUUCCUUGUAAGUUUCAUCCCAUAGUUUGUUUAGGAGCAGAUAUGUCUAGGCAGCCAUACAGGCCAUACCAAGUUAUUCUGCUAGGAGAUCCUUGUUUGAGCAUUAUGUUAAAACUCGUGUGGAAGAAGAACGCAAGGAAAAGCGUGCUGCACAAAAGGCUGCGAUUGAGGGGUUUAAGCAAUUACUUGAUGAAGCCUCAGAGGUUUUAUAUUUGCUCAAUUUGAAGCUCAUUGUACUUGUUCUUGUUUUCAUCAAAUCUAUCUGCCUUCAACUUGUGACUCUACUGAAUACUUAUUAUAAGUCUAAGUUUAGUUAUUUAUCUUGUCUUGAGUCUUUAUGCUAGAGAAUUAUUUAUUAUUUUGAUAACUUUGUAAACUCAUUAU